UUGCCAUAUUUCUCUAUCAUCCAAUAAGAUUUUGACACACCUAGGUUACAAGGCUGUCUUGGAAGCCCUACAUCUUUGCUUAUUUCAAACCCUAAUCUUUGCCCAAUUAGCCUUUGACAUCUAUCUCCAUCCUCUAGGUUUGCAUUCAUUCAAAUAAUUUUUUGCCAGAUGUCUCAUGUGGACCUCUCCUAUAAUUGCUGGUUUAUGCAAACAACAGGUAUUGUUGGUUUAUGCAAACAACUGGUAUUGCUGAUUUAUGCAAACAACUGGCACAAGUGGUUUAUGGAAACAAUUGUGGUUUUAUGAUUGAUUUCCCAAUUUUUCUCAUUUGUGAAGUUUUUUUUCUCUCUCUUCCCCCUCUCUCUCUCUCGUACGCUCUGCUC
rnacentral:lncRNA from 1 species